GCUUCCUUGGUGUAGUUGGCUAUCACGUGAGUCUCAUAGUGCAUCUUUGAUCUAACGACAACGUUAGAGAUAUCUCAAGGUCGCCAGUUCGAUCCUGGCAGGGAGCA